rnacentral:rRNA from 1 species
GAUGAACGCUGGCGGCAGGCUUAACACAUGCAAGUCGAGCGAGCGGCGGACGGGUGAGUAAUGUCUGGGAAACUGCCUGAUGGAGGGGGAUAACUAAUGGAAACGGUAGCUAAUACAGCAUACCAUCAGAUGUGCCCAGAUGGGAUUAGCUAGUAGGUGGGGUAAGGGCUCACCUAGGCGACGAUCCCUAGCUGGUCUGAGAGGAUGACCAGCCACACUUGAACUGAGACACGGUCCAGACCCCUACGGUAGGCAGCAGUGGGGAAGAUUGCACAAUGGUCCCAACCCGGAUGCAGCCAUGCCGCGUGUGUGAAGAAGGCCUGCGGUUUGUAAAGCACUUUCAGCGAGUAGGCGUUACUCGCAGAAGAAGCACCGGCUAACUCCGUGCCAGCAGCCGCGGUAAUAC